rnacentral:lncRNA from 1 species
CGCUGUUGAGGCUCAAGACUGCUGUUUCUUAAAUGCCAGAGUUAUGUCAGAUUGCCUUUCGAAAUGUUGGUAUCUCCAUUCAGGCGUGCAGUGCUUAGUGGAGAGGUACAUCAGCAAUUUCCUUUCUCGUGGAAACACUCACCUAACCAAAGGAGCUACCUGUGUUUCUUUUGGCCAUUUGGAUCUCUGCCUUGGGUUCAAAAGACAACCCCCGCCCGCCCGGUGUGGGGACAUGUACCAUCUACCAAAAGACUGUGAUGAGAACCUCAGCCUGGAGAAGAUAGCCAAGAUACUUCUCAAGUUCCUGAAAUUACUCCAAGUGAGAAGUGAACCACGUGCUGUACAUAUUGCCCGACCAUUGUGUAUCCCCAUAUUAUUUUUGUUUCAACUUCUUUACCAAUUCUAUCUUAACUAAAUUAAAAUCUACUUUAAAAGGCAACAGUAAUAGGUGACCCAUAUGCAUAUGCUCUGUGGGUAAAGAAAAUGAAUGAAUGGCCAAUAAAAUUUCAAAAACAUUCCUCUGUAAUGCCAAGCACCCAACCUAGUUCUGUAUGCAAAAACAUAUCCACCUCCGUCCCAUAGGGCCGAA